UGAUGGGUGGCCUAGUGGUUAACGCUCUUGACUUUCAAUUUUGACCUCCUGGGUUCAACCCCCACUGGGGUCAA